rnacentral:lncRNA from 1 species
UAAAAGAGAAACAGCUCACACAAAGGUAAUCCCAGCACUUGGAGUGAUGUGCCUUUAAUUCCAGCACUAAGGAGGUGGAGAGAGGAAGGCAUAUGACUGGGCAGAGAGAGGAAUAUGAGGCGGGAAGAGACAAGAGAGAGAUACAAUCUGAGGAGCAGCCUGAGAGCAGGAUUGCCUCUUGGGUCUAAGCAUUGGCAGAGGAAACUGGGAGAGGAGGCAUCUAACAGAACAAGCUGCCACUGGAAGCCAGCCCUCUUGAUGGAAAUCAAACAACCAGAUCACAUUUCAGGACAAACUUCUCAUUUAAUGAGAAAGCAGUAUUCAAUUCCUGUAUCUUUAUCCAUGGAUGUUGAAAG